UGCAAGUCGAACGGCAGCACGGGAGCUUGCUCCUGGUGGCGAGUGGCGAANGGGUGAGUAAUGCGUCGGAACGUAUCCAUUAAUGGGGGAUAACGCAGCGAAAGCUGUGCUAAUACCGCAUACGCCCUGAGGGGGAAAGCAGGGGAUCUUCGGACCUUGCGUUAUUGGAGCGGCCGACGUCUGAUUAGCUAGUUGGUGGGGUAAAGGCCUACCAAGGCGACGAUCAGUAGCUGGUCUGAGAGGAUGAUCAGCCACACUGGAACUGAGACACGGUCCAGACUCCUACGGGAGGCAGCAGUGGGGAAUUUUGGACAAUGGGCGCAAGCCUGAUCCAGCCAUUCCGCGUGAGUGAAGAAGGCCUUCGGGUUGUAAAGCUCUUUCGGCAGGGAAGAAACAGUUGAGGCUAAUAUCCUUGACCAAUGACGGUACCUGCAUAAGAAGCACCGGCUAACUACGUGCCAGCAGCCGCGGUAAUACGUAGGGUGCGAGCGUUAAUCGGAAUUACUGGGCGUAAAGCGUGCGCAGGCGGUUUUUCAAGUCUGAUGUGAAAGCCCCGGGCUUAACCUGGGAACUGCGUUGGAAACUGAAAGACUAGAGUGCGGCAGAGGGGGGUAGAAUUCCACGUGUAGCAGUGAAAUGCGUAGAUAUGUGGAGGAAUACCGAUGGCGAAGGCAGCCCCCUGGGUCGACACUGACGCUCAUGCACGAAAGCGUGGGUAGCAAACAGGAUUAGAUACCCUGGUAGUCCACGCCCUAAACGAUGUCAACUAG
rnacentral:rRNA from 1 species